rnacentral:rRNA from 1 species
CUAAGAAUAUUCCGCAAUGGACGGAAGUCUGACGGAGCGACGCCGCGUGGAUGACGAAGGCCGAAAAGGUUGUAAAGUUCUUUUGCUGGGGAAAGAAUAACCGCAGGAGGGAAUGCCUGUGGGAUGACAAGAACCGGCGAAUAAGCCCCGGCCAACUACGUGCCAGCAGCCGCGGUAACACGUAGGGGGCGAGCGUUGUUCGGAAUUACUGGGCGUAAAGGGCAUGUAGGCGGCUUGGAAAGCCUGGCGUGAAAGUCUGCAGCUUAACUGCAGGGGUGCGCUGGGAACUGCUGAGCUUGAGUGACGGAGAGGGAGCUGGAAUUCCUGGUGUAGGGGUGAAAUCUGUAGAUAUCAGGAAGAACACCGAUGGCGGAGGCAAGCUCCUGGCCGAUGACUGACGCUGAGGUGCGAAAAGUGUGGGGAUCAAAACAGGAUUAGAUACCCUGGUAGUCCACACAGUCAAACGAUGUGCACUAGGUGCUGGGGGCGGUAGCUUCGGUGCCGGAGCGAACGUGGUGAAGUGCACCGCCUGGGGAGUAUGCUCGCAAGGGUGAAAACUUAAAAUGAAUUGACGGGGGUCAUAGCUGUUUCC